rnacentral:misc_RNA from 1 species
GGAAUAUUGCACAAUGGGGGAAACCCUGAUGCAGCGACGCCGCGUGAGCGAAGAAGUAUUUCGGUAUGUAAAGCUCUAUCAGCAGGGAAGAAAAUGACGGUACCUGACUAAGAAGCCCCGGCUAACUACGUGCCAGCAGCCGCGGUAAUACGUAGGGGACAAGCGUUAUCCGGAUUUACUGGGUGUAAAGGGAGCGUAGACGGCGUAUCAAGUCUGAUGUGAAAGGCAGGGGCUCAACCCCUGGACUGCAUUGGAAACUGGUAUGCUUGAGUGCCGGAGGGGUAAGCGGAAUUCCUAGUGUAGCGGUGAAAUGCGUAGAUAUUAGGAGGAACACCAGUGGCGAAGGCGGCUUACUGGACGGUAACUGACGUUGAGGCUCGAAAGCGUGGGGAGCAAACAGGA